rnacentral:ncRNA from 1 species
AAAUACGUUGCAGUGAAUCCCCCUAUGCGGUGGGGCCAAUCAGAAAGUUUUGCAUUGAUGCCGCUUGCGAGUCACAAUUGCUGAUGAAUGACUCACCGGGAGGCACCCGGCACUACAACAGG